rnacentral:rRNA from 1 species
UGGGGAAUUUUGCGCAAUGGGGGAAACCCUGACGCAGCAACGCCGCGUGGAGGAUGAAGUAUCUUGGUACGUAAACUCCUUUCGAUGGGGAAGAUAAUGACGGUACCCAUAGAAGAAGCCCCGGCUAACUUCGUGCCAGCAGCCGCGGUAAUACGAGGGGGGCAAGCGUUGUUCGGAUUUAUUGGGCGUAAAGGGUGCGUAGGCGGUUCGGCAAGUCUUCUGUGAAAUCUAUGGGCUCAACCCAUAGUCUGCAUGAGAAACUACCGGGCUUGAGUAUGGGAGAGGUGAGUGGAAUUUCCGGUGUAGCGGUGAAAUGCGUAGAUAUCGGAAGGAACACCUGUGGCGAAAGCGGCUCACUGGACCAUAACUGACGCUGAAGCACGAAAGCUAGGGGAGCAAACA